GAUGAACGCUGGCGGCGUGCCUAAUACAUGCAAGUCGAGCGAACAGACGAGGAGCUUGCUCCUCUGACGUUAGCGGCGGACGGGUGAGUAACACGUGGAUAACCUACCUAUAAGACUGGGAUAACUUCGGGAAACCGGAGCUAAUACCGGAUAAUAUAUUGAACCGCAUGGUUCAAUAGUGAAAGACGGUUUUGCUGUCACUUAUAGAUGGAUCCGCGCCGCAUUAGCUAGUUGGUAAGGUAACGGCUUACCAAGGCAACGAUGCGUAGCCGACCUGAGAGGGGGAUGGGCCACACUGGAAGUGAGACACGGUCCAGAACCCUACGGGAGGCAGCAGUAGGGAAUUUUCCGAAAUGGGGGAAAGCCUGACGGAGAAACGCCGGGGGAGUGAAGAAGGUCUGCGGAUCGUAAAACUCUUUUAUUAGGGAAGAAAAAAUGGGAAAGUAACUAUGCACGUUUUGACGGUACCAAACCAGAAAGCCACGGAGAACUACGU
rnacentral:rRNA from 1 species